rnacentral:rRNA from 1 species
CUUUGGUGGCGACCGGCGCACGGGUGCGUAACGCGUAUGUAACCUACCUAUAACAGGGGCAUAACACUGAGAAAUUGGUACUAAUUCCCCAUAAUAUUCGGAGAGGCAUCUCUCCGGGUUGAAAACUCCGGUGGUUAUAGAUGGACAUGCGUUGUAUUAGCUAGUUGGUGAGGUAACGGCUCACCAAGGCAACGAUACAUAGGGGGACUGAGAGGUUAACCCCCCACCACUGGUACUGAGACACGGUCCAAACUCCUACGGGAGGCAGCAUG